CAGUAGCCGCGGGAAUACCAGCACCUCGAGUGGUCAGGAGGUUUAUUGGGCCUAAAGCAUCCGUAGCCGGUUGCAUAAGUUUUCGGUUAAAUCUAUGCGCUUGACGUAUAGGCCGCCGAAAAUACUGUGCAGCUAGGGAGUGGGAGAGGUACACGGUACUCGAUAGGAAGGGGUAAAAUCCUUUGAUCUAUUGAUGACCACCUGUGGCGAAGGCGGUGUACCAGAACACGUUCGACGGUGAGGGAUGAAAGCUGGGGGAGCAAACCGGAUUAGAUACCCGUGUAGUCCCUGUCUCUUAUAC
rnacentral:rRNA from 1 species